AUGAAGAACGCAGCGAAAUGCGAUAAGUAAUGUGAAUUGCAGAAUUCAGUGAAUCAUCGAGUCUUUGAACGCACAUUGCGCCCCCUGGUAUUCCGGGGGGCAUGCCUGUCCGAGCGUCAUUGCCGCCCUCAAGCACGGCUUGUGUGUUGGGCCCCCGCCCCCCGGCUUCGGGGGGCGGGCCCGAAAGGCAGCGGCGGCACCGCGUCCGGUCCUCGAGCGUAUGGGGCUUCGUCACCCGCUCUGUAGGCCCGGCCGGCGCCCGCCGGCGACCCCAAUCAAUCUUUCCAGGUUGACCUCGGAUCAGGUAGGGAUACCCGCUGAACUUAAGCAUAUCAAUAAGCGGAGGA
rnacentral:misc_RNA from 1 species